rnacentral:rRNA from 1 species
CAAUAGCGUAUAUUAAAGUUGUUGCAGUUAAAAAGCUCGUAGUUGGAUUUCUGGUGAGAUGGAUUAUGUCUAGGUCGAAAGAUCUUGUUCAUGGUUCGUUUUGCCCUUCUUGUCAGGAACCCGCUGAGAUUCGCGUUUUGUCGGUGGAAUGGCAUCGUUUACUGUGAAAAAAUUAGAGUGUUCAAAGCAGGCAUCGCCGUUGAAUACAUUAGCAUGGAAUAAUAAGAUAAGACUUUGGUGGUCUAUUUUGUUGGUUUGCACGCCAAAGUAAUGAUUAGUAGGGAUAGUUGGGGGUAUUCGUAUUCUAUUGCUAGAGGUGAAAUUCUUAAAUUUAUGGAAGACGAACUACUGCGAAAGCAUUUACCAAGGAUGUUUUCAUUAA